CGUCACGUGCUCGGCUCUUACCAAGGAUCCAGAGAGUUUGGAUCUCGAUGGAUACAGAAAUAGUGAGAGAUCAGUCUCGACCGACCUAAAGAAAUCAGACAUAGAAAGCCAAACCGACUUGCCUAUGGGAUAAUCACUUUAUGGAUGGCAGCUCGGGCCUCAGUCGUAACCAAGAGGCUUGGGCUCAGACCUCGACCAUGGUCGAGUUGUCAAGAACUGAUCUGAGAAAGACCGAUCAUUUAAGGCAAAUAUCCUGAUAUGGAUGGAGUCCGCCAUCUCCAUGGCUUUGAAAAGUCUGAAUAAGGAAGGAAAUCGCCAAGAUCAAUUCGCGCCACAAAUGGAAACUCAUAGUUGGCUCCACAUUGCAAACACGGGAGAGAUC
rnacentral:lncRNA from 1 species